AGCGCAGGCGGGAAGACAAGUUGGAAGUGAAAACCAUGGGCUCAACCCAUGAAUUGCUUUCAAAACUGUUUUUCUUGAGUAGUGCAGAGGUAGAUGGAAUUCCCGGUGUAGCGGUGGAAUGCGUAGAUAUCGGGAGGAACACCAGUGGCGAAGGCGGUCUACUGGGCACCAACUGACGCUGAGGCUCGAAAGUGUGGGUAGCAAACA
rnacentral:rRNA from 1 species